rnacentral:lncRNA from 1 species
AGACAGUUGGGCCAUUUUCAACUCAAGGCAUCUGAGUUCCUCCUCAUCAAGGCCCUCCGAACCCUGAAGAGAUCAUCAUAUAUAUGUGCUGCCGAAGCGAGCACUCCUGAAGAGAUUAACUAAGAGUCUAGCACCUUUUAAGUUAGAAGAGACUGCCCACAUAGGGAGAGUGGCACAGAGGAGAGUAACAUCAAUCAACAGCGAAUAUGCACUUGAUCGCGGUCUAAUCAGCACCAGGCACCUCAGGGCAGCAGUAUUGUCAGACGCAUUGGAACCAGAGGGACUCCAUCUUGAAUAAGGUCUGGGUAAAAUGAGGCUAACACCUACUGGGCUGCAUUCCCAGGAGGUUAAGCAUUCUUAGUCACAGGACAAGAUAGGUCAGCAGGACAAGAUAGAGGUCAUAAAGACCCUGCUGAUAAAACAAUGCCAUAAAGAAGGCAGCCAAAACCUGCCAAAACCAAGGUGGUGAUGAAAGUGACCUCUAGUUGUCCUCACUGCUCACUAUACGCUAAUUAUAAUGCAUUAGCAUACUCAAAGACACUCCCAGCAGCACCACGACAGUUUACAAACGCCAUGGCAACAUUAGGAAGUUACCCUAUAUGGUCUAAAAGGGGAGGAACCCUCAGUUAGGGUAAAUCCCUGCCCUUUUCCUGGAAAACUCAUGAAUGAUCCACCCCUUGUUUAACAUAUAAUCAAGAAAUAACUAUACGUGUACUCAGUUGAACAUCCCGUGCCACUGCUCUGCCUAUGGAGUAGCCAUUCUUUUAUUCUUUUACUUCUCUAAUAAACUUGCUUUCACUUUACUUUAUGAACUCGCCCCAAAUUCUUUCUUGUGCAGGAUCCAGAACCUUCUCUUGGGGUCUGGAUUGGGACACCUUUCCUGUAACAGUAUUAGUCAUAACUAUUAUCUGAAAAAGUAUAUUUAUAUGGUACUUUACAAAUUCAAUUUUGCACAAUAGACUCUGACUUAUGUCAUUCUCACAAUCACCCCAUAAUGUCAAUCCUCCCAUUUCACAAUAAAGAAAUUGAGGCUCAGGCUGGAGACGGUGGCCCACACUUAUAAUCCCAGCACUUUGGGAGGCUGAGGCAAUGGGAUCAUUUGAGGAUCGGAGUUUGAAACCAGCAUGGGCAACAUGGUGAGAUUCCAGUUCUACAAAAAAAAAAAAUGUUUUUGGCCGGGC